UUCAUGGUUGCACAGACACAGCGGGUGGAACGCGGGGUUCCUGGCUGCACAGACGCAGCGGGUGGAACGCGGGGUUCAUGGUUGCACAGACGCAGCGGGUGGAACGCGGGGUUCACGGUUGCACAGACACAGCGGGUGGAACGCGGGGUUCCGGAGCUGGGCUGGCGCAGCGGGCGGUGCUUGGCACAGCUGGCCGGAGCCGGGCAGGCGCAGCUCCGAGCGGCUCUGCAGUGACGUACCGACCGAGGGCCGAACCCAGCGUGCCAUUUCUGACUCGUGUCAAACCGCGGCAGGUGAAACGGCAGAGAAAUUACUCGUGGCAAAUCUGGGAAGAUACCGUGAGAGAACAGUAACAAAAUACUGUGUUGCUUAAAGCUUCUAUCCCUUCCAAUCUGUACUUGUUUAGCCUGUUUUUCUCUAAGCAGCAUGCACAGGUUUGCAAGUCGUUUCAAGUGCAGUGACCUCUCCCUGGUGUACAAAACCCAGAAGCUCUGGUAACAGGUACACACAUAACCCAGGUGUUUACUGAGCGUGUCUUUAGUUUCAGUGGUAGAGUAUAUUUCUAGAAUGUACCAAAAAAAAUUCCUUGGUUUAAUCAGUGUCAUUUGUGCUAUUCGUAUUGCCAUGGCUCCUGUUGUAACUCCCGCGGCAGGUUCGCACUGAAGCCCCUCCUGGCUUUGGAAGCCCUGCUGUCCCUGAGGCCACAGUUUAACGUGCUGCCGUUCCUCCUGGUCCCUCGCGCACCUUCCAGAUUAUCCUCUCCUGCUUCACACGAGCAGCCGACCAGUUUAGCGGGAGGAAUGUGCACUUCGCACUUUGGAGCACUCGUGAGUCAAAUCUUUUCCUGGGUGUGUGUUGGGAUUCUGUGCAGCGGCCAGAGCUCCGUUCGUGCUGCUCCCAGCCUGUUCCGUGUCCCCCCGGUGCCAGCGUCCUGCGCGACAGCACACUGCUGGACCGGCUGGCACUGCAGCUGUUCUCAGCCCGGCUCAGCUGCUGCCAGCGGUGAAGGCGCCUCGGCUUCCCUGGAGAAACCAGUCACGCUUUGCCCUUUAUUCGGCAAAACCAUACAGAGAACAAUGAUUCAACAUAAUAGCAUGUUUAUUGUUCUUGCCAAACUUGGCCACAGACUCUACGCCUGGCUAUUAUUCCACUCUUGAUUAAUGACAAAUUUUAGAUCAUUUUAUUAUCAGAAAUUUCAGUCUGGCGCUUCAUUUAUAGCAGGCUGCCACUGUUAGCUCAUUCUUCAUCGAAGAGGACUUCAGAUCCGGGAGUCUGAGAAUGGCCGACUCUCUAACUCUCCAGCUGUUUGCUAACACUCAAGAUUUUAUCGAGCCUUGCGGCUCGUAUCAAGAGUAGCUUCAGAAACGUCAGUGGUUCUUUAUUACUCCGCUUAGCCACAAGAGGCUGCUGUGUGCCCGCAGCCUGCGCAGGCUCUGCCCGCCCCGCUCUCACAACACACGGCUCUUUGCCUACAGGGACCUGUAUUGUAAUCUGCUCAAACAGUUUCAAAGGAAAAAUAAUAACUCCUUUAUGAAAGCAUCAUUUGGUGUUUCACAGAGGACAUGACUUCCUAGAAGUUGUAAAGAUACAAAGGGCAUAACCCGAUGGUAAACAAAAAGUGGUUUCUGAUUCCGUGUCCUUCCUGCGUCCUCUGCGUUCACAGCUGUAGGCGAUGACCCGUGAGAGCAGCGCAAGGAAUGGGGUGAAAUGUGUACUGUAUUGGUACCAGAAACACUCCAAACCCAAGAAUUGAAGUAUUCGGCUAAGACAAGAAGUCCAAACUAACAUAAACAGCCCUGGAGCUGAGCAGAAGUGAGAGACAUCCGCCUCGUCACACGGGCAAAAUGGGGGGAAGAGAAUGUGAAGAAGAGGAUUCUCCCCUGGCAGACAGGAAAGCUGCUGGCUGAGUCGCACACGGCGUCCUGCCCUUGUUUUGGGACACGUCUUCUCCGAAGCCAGAGCCAGGAGGUGAGGUGAGAACUGCUCGGGGCGUACCGGGAGCUCGGGCUGCUCCAGCGCCGUGCGAGGCCGCGGUGGCGGAGGUUCUGGGGCUGCUCUCCGUGUGAGCCUCCCGCUUCUUCCUGAGCACCUAGGUGGAUUCUCUGGGCUACCGCUCACAGACACGUCGAGAGACGUGUGGGAAAUGCCUGCAUAGCGUAGAAAAUGUGCUGGAAUACUCUGGCACUGUAAUCAUUAUUUUGCACUUAAAUUCAUUUUUAGUUUUCCAUGAUGAAUUAUAUACGAAAAUAAAGGAUGGCUUGCCCAGCAAACUUCAGCAACUAUUUAUAAAUGUAUUUUGGAUUGUCCCUACAUUUUCCUUUUUUGGUGUGAGGAGGAUUCAUUUUUUUGAAAUUAAUUAUGUGAAACUCUAUUGUAGAAGUUACAUGUAGGGAAGCCAAGCGCUUUGGCAUCUACACAGGGAAUAGCUGGAGUGCUGGACAUCUGGGGCAAGCAUUUUGAGGCUGGAAAGAGAAAAACACAUCAGAGGGGUAUUUCUGCUACACAUUAUCAACUGUUGUGCUCAUAAUGAUGGCGUUCAAACCAUCACUGCUAAACUUAGUCUUCCUCCUCACCCCCUCACUUUAUCA